rnacentral:rRNA from 1 species
GACGAACGCUGGCGGCGUGCUUAACACAUGCAAGUCGAACGAUGAAGCUGGAGCUUGCUCCGGUGGAUUAGUGGCGAACGGGUGAGUAACACGUGAGCAAUCUGCCCUUGACUCUGGGAUAACUGCGGGAAACUGUAGCUAAUACCGGAUACUUUCACUGGAAGGCAUCUUCUGGUGAAGAAAGAAUUUCGGUCAAGGAUGAGCUCGCGGCCUAUCAGCUUGUUGGUGAGGUAACGGCUCACCAAGGCGACGACGGGUAGCCGGCCUGAGAGGGUGGCCGGCCGCACGGGGGCUGAGACACGGCCCAGACUCCUACGGGAGGCAGCAGUGGGGAAUAUUGCACAAUGGGCGCAAGCCUGAUGCGGCAACGCCGCGUGAGGGAUGAAGGCCUUCGGGUUGUAAACCUCUUUUAGCAGGGAAGAAGCGAAAGUGACGGUACCUGCAGAAAAAGCACCGGCUAACUACGUGCCAGCAGCCGCCGUAA